rnacentral:rRNA from 1 species
AGAGUGAACGCUGGCGGUAGGCCUAACACAUGCAAGUCGAACGGCAGCACGGUAAGAGCUUGCUCUUAUGGGUGGCGAGUGGCGGACGGGUGAGGAAUACAUCGGAAUCUACCUUUUGGUGGGGGAUAACGUAGGGAAACUUACGCUAAUACCGCAUACGCCCUUCGGGGGAAAGCCGGGGACCAGCAAUGGCCUGGUGCUGAUAGAUGAGCCGAUGUCGGAUUAGCUAGUUGGUGAGGUAAUGGCUCACCAAGGCGACGAUCCGUAGCUGGUCUGAGAGGAUGAUCAGCCACACUGGAACUGAGACACGGUCCAGACUCCGUACGGGAGCAGCAGGUGGGGAAUAUUGGACAAGUGGGCGACGAAGCCUAGACUCCAGCCAUACCGCGUGGUAGAAGAACGGUCCGUUACGGUUAGUAAAGUCCCGUUUUUAGGUUAGG